rnacentral:rRNA from 1 species
UACGUAGGGUGCAAGCGUUGUCCGGAAUUAUUGGGCGUAAAGAGCUCGUAGGCGGUCUGUCGCGUCUGCUGUGAAAACCCGAGGCUCAACCUCGGGCCUGCAGUGGGUACGGGCAGACUAGAGUGCGGUAGGGGAGAAUGGAAUUCCUGGUGUAGCGGUGGAAUGCGCAGAUAUCAGGAGGAACACCGAUGGCGAAGGCAGUUCUCUGGGCCGUAACUGACGCUGAGGAGCGAAAGCGUGGGGAGCGAACCGG